rnacentral:rRNA from 1 species
AUUGAACGCUGGCGGCAUGCCUUACACAUGCAAGUCGAACGGCAGCACGGGAGCAAUCCUGGUGGCGAGUGGCGAACGGGUGAGUAAUAUAUCGGAACGUGCCCAGUCGUGGGGGAUAACGUAGCGAAAGCUACGCUAAUACCGCAUACGAUCUAUGGAUGAAAGCGGGGGAUCGCAAGACCUCGCGCGAUUGGAGCGGCCGAUAUCAGAUUAGGUAGUUGGUGGGGUAAAAGCCUACCAAGCCUUCGAUCUGUAGCUGGUCUGAGAGGACGUCCAGCCACACUGGAACUGAGACACGGUCCAGACUCCUACGGGAGGCAGCAGUGGGGAAUUUUGGACAAUGGGCGCAACCCUGAUCCAGCCAUUCCGCGUGAGUGAAGAAGGCCUUGGUGUAAGA